GGGGAUGAUCGGUUUCGACGUUGUUAUAUUAUCUCCAAAGAUGCCAUUCGUGGACGGCUGUUCCCACGUUAAUCACCGGCCAAACAUAUAACUGGCAACUAUACCAGUAACUACGCUUUCGCCUAACCUCGGUUAGGCGGAGCCAUCCCGCUCUGAUGCUCGUUGGGAGAUCCGGGGUGUCAUAUAGCGAGCUUGAGGAGCAGACAUCGCCCGUGUGCCCGCUCUCGACAUAGAUCAUGGGUUAGCCGUAGAUUAUUUUGUUGGUUUUCUACUCUUCGGCGAAACAAUAAACCAGCUACUGUGGUACACAUCUUUGAGAUACGACAGCGGACGCGGGUUCGAUUCCCGCCGUCUCCACUC
rnacentral:tmRNA from 1 species